UACGUAGGGUGCGAGCGUUAAUCGGAAUUACUGGGCGUAAAGGGCGCGUAGGCGGCACUGCAAGUCAGUUGUGAAAUCUCCGGGCUUAACCCGGAAAGGUCAACUGAUACUGCAGGGCUAGAGUGCAGAAGGGGCAACUGGAAUUCUCGGUGUAGCGGUGAAAUGCGCAGAUAUCAGGAGGAACACCGGUGGCGAAGGCGGGUCUCUGGGCCGAUACUGACGCUGAGGAGCGAAAGCGUGGGGAGCGAACAGG
rnacentral:rRNA from 1 species